UGCCGGCGCCCAGGCCGGCGGGGCUCCCGUCGCCGGCGGCGGCACGCGCUCCGGGACGCCGCCGCGCCGCGCCUGCAC
rnacentral:pre_miRNA from 1 species